UAUAACCUAAAAACCUAAGAGAUAAAUUCGAAUUCCUCCAAGACCUAACUUCAUUUCAGAAUAUAAACUUCAAUUCUCCAUGUUUUAAGGCUUUAGGAAGAGUGGAAAAUCGAAUUGGUGCUCGUUUUGGCAACGACGGUGCAAGUAGAAAGUAAGGCAGCUUUUGACGAUAUUUUGGACUAGUUUGGUUGUUGUGUGGCCACUUGAUUGAUGGUCAGUGAAGGGAGAAGGGCUGAGCCGUGCUAAUGAUGGAGAAGGGUUAGCCAUCAAGUGUUCCUAGAUAUGUUGGUUAGACUGUAGAUCAGUGUUGUGUUCCUGAUUACAGGUCUAUGGUUUAUAUUAUUGUUACAGGGUAAUAUAUCAAUGUUAUAAUUGAUGAUUGAUACGAACUACAUUUUAUAUUUGAAGUGAAAUUGUUUUGAUAUCGUUUAUAUUUGUAAAUGCUUUCGUGAUGAACAUUACAAGUAUUUUGUGUUGUAUUGAACUGUUUUCUAUUAUUCGUUAUUAUAUGAUAUACUUACUUUAAGUAUAUAAAUGUUUUAUGCUUGUUAUGUCUA